CUCGGCCGGUGGAUGGGGCACCCACGGCCAGUCCGGGGGAGAGGCUGGAUGACGGGGAGAAAGUGAAUGUCAGCUCACAAAGUUCAAUCGCUAUCUCAAGGUUGGGUGCCAUCAGGACUGACCAAAAUCAUGAACGUGGCAAGGGAAGGUUGACCUUCAAAGCACAAUAGGACACUCUGCUACAGAGACCGGUCAUUGGUUAUAGAGCCUGUUAAUAGAGCAAUGUAAAGAUCCCCAUCUAUGAGGGCCAUCAGAACUGACGAACAUGGCCAUGAUGGUGAGAGGAGGGAAGGGUGCCUUCGAACCUAAGGACACUCUACAGAGACCACUCAUUGGCCACACUGCAAUCUGCAGAUUUCCAUAAAUGGGUGCCAUCAGAGCUGGCCACGGUGGAGAGGGAACCUACCUUCAAACUCGAGGAGAGUCUACAAAUACUACUCUAGGAUCUUAGAGCGAUCUUAAGAUCUCAAUCUAAGGUUGCCUUCAGGACUGACUAACAGGAGAAGGGAAUGUGCCUCCGAACUAGACGACAUUCUACAGAGACAGCUAAUUGGUCAUAGAUCAAUCUAAAGAACAGGUACUUUCAGGGCAGUCCAACAUGGCUUCAGAGAUAGAGGCCUUCGAACUAGAGGACACUACAGAGACCACUCAUUAGUCACAGAGCAAUCUCAAGAUCUCCAUCAAAGGGUCUCCACUAUUUGGGCUGACCAUCAAGUGGAAGGGAGGUUCCUGCAAACCAAACAGACCACUCAUUGCUCAUGGAGCGUAUUAAAGAACUCCACUGAUGUCCAUCUAUGGGUGCCUUUCAUGGCUGAGCAAAUUGCCACGAAAAGGCACCCUUGAACUAGAAACCACUCUACAGACACUCGUCAUAGAGCUAUCUAAAGAUAUCCAUUAAUGUGUACUAUCAGGACUGACUAACAUGGCAUGGGCAGGUGCCUUUGAACUAGAUGAAAUUCCACAGAAAUGAUUUCUUGUUCAAAGAGGCUUCUAAAGAUCUCUAUCAAUGGGUACUAUCAAAACUGACCAAUAUGGCAUGGGAAGUGAUAGCCCAUAUCCGAGAUAUCUUUUAAAGGAAGGGUACAUGUAAGAGGGACUAUGAGGAGUGCUUCUCAACAUUUCCCAAAGAUGGUCACAGGCGAUCAGAUGGAUCAAAGAAAUAGGAGAAACAAGGCGCAAUGUUUGAUGCCGGUUAAGUCUCCCAGAGAGAAGCAGAUGCCUGAUGGCUGGAAAAACGCAUUCAGAGCCAGCCUGUCAGGAAGAAUGCAAGAAGACAGGGAAGAUACAUUCGGAGUCAGCCUAUCAGAAGGAAUGCAAGAUUACAUUGAAAAUGCAUUCAGAGUCAGCCUAUGAGAAACAAAGCAUGGUGACAGUGAAGAUGCAUUCAGAGUCAGCCUAUCAGAAGGAAUGCAAGAUUACAGUGAAAAUGCAUUCAGAGUCAGCCUAUCAGAAGCAAAGCAUGGUGACAGUGAAAAUGCAUUCAGAAUCAGCCUAUCAGAAGGAAUGCAAGAUUACAGUGAAAAUGUAUUCAGAGUCAGCCUAUCAGAAGGAAUGCAAGAUUACAGUGAAAAUGCAUUCAGAGUCAGCCUAUCAGAAGCAAAGCAUGGUGACAGUGAAAAUGCAUUCAGAGUCAGCCUAUCAGUAGGAAUGCAAGAUUACAGUGAAAAUGCAUUCAAAGUCAGCCUAUCAGAAGCAAAGCAUGGUGACAGUGAAAAUGCAUUCAGAGUCAGCCUAUAAGAAGGAAUGCAAGAUUACAGUGGAAAUGCAUUCAGAGUCAGCCUAUCAGAAGGAGUGCAAGAUUGCAGUGAAAAUGCAUUCAGAAUCAGCCUAUCAGAAGCAAAGCAUGGUGACAGUGAAAUGCAUUGAGAGUCACCCUAUCAGAAGGAAUGCAAGAUUAUAGUGAAAAUGCAUUCGGAGUCAGCCUAUCAGAAGCAAAGCAUGGUGACAGUGAAAAUGCAUUGAGAGUCAGCCUAUAAGAAGGAAUGCAAGAUUACAGUGGAAAUGCAUUCAGAGUCAGCCUAUCAGAAG
rnacentral:lncRNA from 1 species